UGCGUAGGUGGGGCGAUAAGUCAGUGGUGAAAUCCUGCGGCUUAACCGUAGAAUUGCCAUUGAUACUGUCGCUCUUGAGUACGCUUGACGUGGGCGGAAUGUGCCGUGUAGCGGUGAAAUGCUUAGAUAUGGCACAGAACACCGAUAGUGAAGACAGCUCACGAAGGCGAAACUGACACUGAGGCACGAAAGCGUGGGGAUCGAACAGGAUUAGAUACCCUGGUAGUCCACGCCGUAAACGAUGAUCACUCGUGAUUGGCGAUAUACGGUCAGUCACCUAGCGAAAGCGUUAAGUGAUCCACCUGGGGAGUACGAUCGCAAGAUUGAA
rnacentral:rRNA from 1 species